UUGAACUGUCAAAUUUAAGUAAAAAUUAAUUUUAAUUCGCCAAUUGACACAUACCCUUAAAGCUUAGUUUUUGACAUUCCGCGAAACGUCUUAAACGUCUGAAUAGGGUAGCUAUGUUGACUGGUAGGAUUAGAAUAGGGCGUGAAUGAUUUUCGGUAUGCGUUUAGGUAAUUAGUUUAGUAGGUAAUUACGUUUUCCAAUUCGUUAAUUGGAGUAAUUCGGUUAAUCGGUCUUUGAGUUUUCCUGAUGUGUCAGGAGUAAAUCGGUUUAGGUAAGACAAAUUUUCAGAUAUUUCUGAAGUUAUCGGUAUAUAGAAUAAGAUAAAAUGUUUGAUGAGUGUUUCGGUUUGUCAGUAAAGGAUUAUUUGGUUUGUUAGUAUCGUGUUUGGUCAGCUCAACAUAGUUAUUCCGUUAGGCGAUUUAGUAUGUUUUGAUUAGUUGCAAUAGUUUCAGCUCAGUAAAUUUCAUGUUUAAUUUGUUUAGGUUAUUCCGAUUCAGAAAAAAAAAAAAAAUCUUUAAAUUUUAUAAAUGUCUAUGUUAGUAUUUUCUAAAUAAAUAUUAAACAUAAAAAUUUUGAAAUUUUACAAAUUUCAAAAUUUUUAUUUCUUAGCAUGGGCGAAAUGUAACGAUAACAUAAUAUCACUUAAUUUAGAACCGCAUUGCAAAUACGUUUUUACCUCAACCGUUUGUAUCUGCUGGCAAAAGCUUUUAAUUUUCACAUGCUGUCAGUAAGGCCAGUAAUGCUGUCAGAUUGCAUUAAAGUAUUUUCACAUGCGCCACCUAGGAGAGGAUUGCGCAAACACGAUGAAACAUUUCGAGUUUAAAUUUAUUGCGUCGUAGAGAGUCAAACAGAUCCAGCCGUGGAAAAUUCCGUAAAUGUAACAAAAGAAUAAUUGAAAGUUAGACUCUCCGUAAUCCACCAAUUGGAGGAAAUUGCGCAGUAAAUUUUUGGCUAUUCCCAAUCUAUCGCGCGUUAUCCUAUUCACUUGAGUGGAGUGCUUAGUGGAAGACAGUUGAAUCUUUCCAUAGUGGAGUUAAUUUUUCCAAAGGUGUUUCAAAUCACAUUUAAAUCAAACCAAUUAAACUCGAAUGACAGAAUUUGUUGAGUUUAAAUAGUUUUUUAUUGAGAAUAAAUCCAGCGAGUAGUGGCUAAUAAUUAAUUCAGGACGAGUGCCCACGCAACGAGGGCGGUUAGUCCGGAUUGGACACUAGUUCAACCAAACGAACUGGUGAGUGGAAUCGUCUGAGCGUGUUUGGACUAGCAAGUGUCUUCGGUAGUGCUCGAAUUCCGUCUAGCUCGUGAUUCGUCCGACGUCUGUGGUGCAACAUCACGGUGUCGUCGCAAGUCAAUAAGACGCCCGGUGCCAGCCGAGCUACAACCAACGGCUGCCACUCCACGAAGCCGGGGACGCAUUUACCCCGAUCAACGCAUCGGCGCGCGCGAGACACGUGAUAGGACGAGAGCUCGUUUAGAGCCCGAAGCCGUUAAGCAGUUGGUGACGACCAACGAGAACGCUCGACGAGGGAAGAUUUCGAGACGCGUAUUUGGGAAGGAUUGCAUCUCGUAGCCACGUGUUACUUCCGACGCGGGACCUACAACGAACGAUAAGGUCAGAUAAAACCAAAAACUUUUCUUUGGCUCUUUUUCGCACAUGUGCUAUAAAACCCUAAAAGCUAAUCCGAUAGGAACGUGACGUCACAUGAGGGAAUUAGGCUUGUUUGAAUUGAUUUGAAGUUUGAAUAAAAAUUUCCUUUUUGAAUUGAAUGUUGAAUGAAACUUGAACUCAAUAAAUUGUGUUGAAUUGGAUUACGCGAUCGUUGAAUGAAAAGUUGUUAAUUACUUCUAGUUUAAUUUUAGCUCUCCACGUUCAUUUCGCGUUACGGAAUAAAUUGUAAAUAUAGAUUUAGAUUGGCUUUAGUUAACUAUAAUCUGGACAAUUCCCUUUUGAUGAAUUACUGAGAUUUUUCUUAGAUUUUUUCGCGAUUUUGUUGUAAAUAUUUGCUGAUUUCUGUUUGGCUAUCGUGCGAAGCGUUUGGUGUUGAAGUGAAUCUUCGGUUCUGAGACAACUGUUUCACCUGCCCUGAGAAGGCAGUUUCAUUCCGGGCAAACUUAAAGGAGUAACGGUCCUUCGUUUGAAGGUGGCGCAUAAGCCGUUUACUUAAGGGACAGAACGGAGCGUUACAAGGCUUUUCAAUCGGAACUGUUAAUGAUAUGAUAUGUAUAACGAUUCAUUUGAUGUGAACGUGUCUCACUACGGGUACAAUGUAUGUGUAGUGUCUGAUAAAAUAUGCUCUUAGAAUUCUUUCAGUGUAGGUGUCCAUGAAGAUUCUACCUUCUUCUUCGGCGUAACAAGCGAGCGAUUACAUGCAUUACACUCUUUAACAAAACGCUCAAUAUCAGUGUUUAUUCCUAGCCAAAAAGCUGUGCGUCUGGCUAAUUGUUUACUUUUACAAUUCCGUCGUGAUUCGAGUGCAACAUUUGUAAGAUUUUCCCCUGCAAUGCUUUCGGCACAACUAUUCUACCACAAAACAACAAGCAUCCUGAAGAUAAUUCCAGGUCAUGUGAUUUUGCUUUGAAAUCUCGUAACUCUCUGUCUACCCGAUUUGGCCACCCUUUUUCUAAAUGAAGUAUGACCUAUGACAGUAAAACAUCAUUUUUUGUUUCAUUUGCUAUUGUUUUAUAGUCCAUUGGUAGAUCAUUAGUGAAAUUUACGCUGUUAAUAUACUUUUUGUCAACGUCUUCAGGUACUGGACAAGGAAGUGGGAAACGUGAGAAAAAAUUAUACCUUACCGAUCAGGCUAAGGCCGGGGUGGCUGUUAGAGCCUCCUCCAGGCUCUGACUAGGUAUGACGGUAGCUACAGCACUAGUGGGUAAACUCGCUCUUGGCUAGCCCUGUAGCUAUAACUCGGUGAACCUCUUCGGUUGGGUUCCUUCCACUACACUGGUUGGACUGUGGGAUUCGGAUUCGGUUAAGAAAUCUCUGUUACACUUCACUUGUUUAUUACAACUACGAUGUUUAUUACGCGAUUUCAAAAUUAUAACUAACUGGCUUGCGCAACUGCGCUGCUUAUAUAAUGCCUGGUUUACAUGGAGCAAGUGACUUGAAAAUGUCCAAUUGAAUGCGAAUUGAACGUGUAAACACCACUGUUCAUCUCAGUUGAGCAACUGACUUGACUUGAACGAAAUCAUCCCACUUGCCCCGUCUGAACACGCGAUUCAUGUGAGUUGAAUUCAAGUCAUCUGUCAAAUGAGCUGAAUUCAAUUCAGUUUGCUUACGCACCGCACGAGUGGAAGAAUGUAAACACUUGCUUCAAUUGAGAUGCAUUCAAAGGCAUGCAAGUGGACACCCAAGUCAUUUGCUCAGUCUAAACAUUUCUUUCCAUUGGAUUGAACAUGUUUGAGAAGUUUGCAACUCAGAUGCUCGUUUCAAUUGAAUCUAGAAAGUUCGCACACCCGCGCGAACACGCUGGAUCAUCACGUGCUCCGCCGCCUGCGCCUGUGAGAUGAUUUCGUUUGACUUGAACAAAAAAGUUUUCCCGAUUAUUAGCCGGUGCCGACAGGUGGCCAACUCAGCGGUGGGGGUUGGUUCCGUCCUCCGCUGCACUGGUAUCGUGGUUUCCUCCGUUGCCGUGGUUUCCCGUGCCUACGUUCUCCACGCCAUUCAGGUUCUAAUCGAAGUGCUGCUUCCAUCUUUCGAUCACCUUACUAUUGUGACCGGAGGAAUCCUAAUUGCUUCUGUACUUUUUAACGUUCAUUGAUAGACUGAUUUGAUAUCUCUGAAGACUUGUCAUACUGCUAUUUUCAAAUCCUACUUUUCUUUUCCAACGACUCAUUACUACAUUCUAUCCCUUUCAACACUCACGUCCGUCCGUCAAUAGGCUUCCGUCCUUAUCCCUGCACAUUUUGGCUCGCGGUACGCAGCCGUUGCGGGAUGCGUUGAGCUUCUGGUAGAACUUCCGUGUUUCUUGGGAACGGCACAGCAGUUCCAUUUCUUCGCACUCCGUUUCUUCCAGGCGGCACUUUUUCUCCCGCCGAAAGAUGCGGGUCUGCUGUUUCCGCUUCUGUUUGUAACGUUCUGCCACAGAGAAACAGACGUCACACUCUGCUCGCUUCCUAUCGAUCAACUUUUUAACGGCUGAUUCAAAUAUUCGGUAGUAGGUCGAUUGGCCACUCGCGGCGCUAGCAUCGGUUUUGAUCGGUUUGAUGUUUGCUCACUACUGCCACCUAGUGAUGGCCCGGACAAACACAGUAUAUUUGGUAUUGGGCGAUUGCCUUUUUGUAACGAUGUUUUCUAAUAUUUUUUUUUCUAAGUGUUACGUCUGUUUCUCUUUUUUUUUCUAAACCGUAGGGGGAUAAUCUGCCUAACAGGAAGGUUAGGGUAGUGUAGGGCUGAGGCUGUCUUCUACAACAAAAGUAAAAGCCAGGACUACUCUCUCCUCGUACCCACUAAACCAUUCCUGUGGUCGCCAAACCCUAGGUCUCUCCGGAACCACCAAGAAGGUAUUGCUUCAGAGGGGGGCUAGUGCACAUCGCACCCUCAAGGUUAGCUGCGUAGCCUAGCAGCAACGAGCAUCGAUGACACGCUCUGGAGAGUCCAUCACGGUAACAUGCUGGCGCUUAGCCAGUUUUCCGAGUGGUCCUCGCCACUCCCUUUGUCCUCGGAAGGCGGGCAGGGUCAACCCCGCCCGCGCCCAACUGCUUUGCGGACAUCAAGAACUGAUGCCCACGUGCAACCCGAUCUGACCUGCUGAAGGCAAGGGUAUCACUACCCUUCAGGCCCUAUCAGCUGCACCAGAAGGUUGCUGACAGCAGGGUCUCCAUCUGCCCCGACCCUUGCCGGGGACCCCUUUCCAACCGUGGGCUCGGAUCCAACCUAGUAGACCGACGCCACGACAGCACCGCUACCGGGACUUCCUCUCCGCGGCCACCUAAUCGCUGUAAGGGUCGAUCUCGACCGCAGGGCAUCGGUAUGACCUACGAAGCCGACUCCGAACCCCUGGACCACCUCUUGUACUGCAUCUGGACUAGCCAUUCUCCGAGUCCACGCGCCACUUCCUCUGUAGCUCCCAGACGAUAUGGGUGAUAGCCGUUGAAACGGCGUUCCAGCCAAACUCAUCCCUACACAUCCUCUGGACCAAGUUGUCCGGGUUUGUGUCCUCCCCGCAUGUGGCAAGCAUGCGGUCACGCAUUGUGCGAAAACGCGGGCACACGAACAAAACGUGUUCCGUCGUUUCCUCUAAACCAUUGCACACUGGGCAUUCGGGAGAAUCCGCAUGCCCGGAACGGUGUAGAUACUGUCGGAAGCAACCAUGACCUGUACUGCCGUAAUUCUGCAAAGUGACGUAAGCGCCAUUUAAAAUGUCGAUAUUUUUUGGUAUAUUAUCUAUGAUAUCUGGUGUAAAAAUAAUACUGUGGUAUGCCUGCUGUAUAAGAAUGCAAGAUCUAGUCGUAAUCUAUCAUCUAUGGAAAGAAACUUAGAGGUUGAGCAAGAGUUUUAUGCAUAAUAACCAAAAAAUGGGCCAAAACUAUCAAUGUCGCUUACGUCACUUUGCAGAAUUACGGCAGUGUAAGGACCUGUGUCAGGUGGAAUGUAACUUCCCCAUGGCGCCUAUUAAUCCAACUAUCUACCCUCGGUAUCAACCUAUGGGCCCAUCUUCCUUUGGUGGAACUGUCCCACGCACGCUGCCAUUUGACCAUAGAGAUUGAUUGAUUUAUCUUUAUUUGAGAGCCUUUUGACCAUAAAGGCCAUCUUAGCAGUCCUGCGUAUGCCUCUUGUGCCGCGCAUUUCAAAGCACUCCAUGUCCUCACUGAUAAGAAUGCUGAUAGGCACCAUACCAGUAAUGACGCAGAGAGCGUCGUGUGACAUGGUACGGUACGCGCUCGCAACCCUCAGGCACAUAAGCCUGUCAGUACUUUCCAGCUUCCGUCGGUAGCAUUUAGUACUUAGCGCGGUGCCCCACACCGGGCCGCCAUACCUAGAUAUGGACGUAGCAACACUAGCCAGAAUCUUGCGCUUACUGGCGUACACCGCAGAGCUAUUGGACAUCAUCCGGGACAGUGCCGCAAUAGCUGUGGAGGCUCUUUUAUAGGCAUAAUCGACUUGGCUACCGAAGGUAAGCUUAUCGUCGAUCAUCACGCCCAAGUGUUUGACGAAGCGCUUUGACAGGAUAGUGCACUCUCCUACAUUGAUCUCCGUCUGCUGUUCCGACUUCCGGUUGUUAACAACCGUCACCUCUGUCUUGUGGUGAGCCAGCUCCAGUUUCCUGGAUCGCAUCCACGCCUCUACAACCUUGAUCGAGUAGUCGGUAGUCAACUUCACCUCCUCGAUCGUUUCACUGUAGACUUUGAGCGUAAUGUCGUCGACAAAUCCGACAAUCUCCACUCCCACUGACGUCUGUUUCUCUGUGGUUCUACGUUCUGCCGAGUCCCUUGUUGCAGCAUAACCGCCCGCGCUGCGUUCUUCUCCAAAACCGUUCUGCACUCUUCGUCGAACCUUCGUCGAUUCCGUUCCACGUACCCGAUGGUGAUCUCUACCAGAGAAAAGAGUGAUCGUUAGGUUUCGUCAAAUUCGCAUAUAGGCAAAUUUGACGUAAGGUAACGAUAGUUACGCAUCUGGUGGCAGGAAUGAGAACCCUAUGAAAAGAGUGAUUCCGCCAAAAAAGUGCCAUGGCGCAGCAUAGGCAAAGUGCAUUUUUUUUUUUUUCACUUUUUCAUAUCGAAUUCCGCAUCGUAGAGGAUCAAACGACCACUUUUUGGAAAGAAAAUUUAAUUUUCUUUCAGAUGCGAUCAGAUCCGCUAGGUACUUACAAACAAUUUAUGUGACUAAGAGCUCCUCAUGCUAUGCCUCCGGCGGGCAAUUUCCGGACUUUUUGUUAGCUUUUUUUUCUUCACCUGUUGGGGAAAUCAAUCCGCUGCGCCCAAUAGGCUGAACUUUUGUUAGCUUACUAAUCCGGUGUCUGUCGGCGUGGGCAUCGAGAAUGAUGAUAUGAAAAGCUAUUGCCAAUGGAAAAUACCAACUACCGGUGCAAAAUAUGAGUAAAUUUUGAAGACGAAAAAUUGAUUUUUUUUAUGUAAACAAACGAUUUUCUCCUUAUCUCACUCAGCGCCUCUACAAUUAGGGAUCAUCCGAAUUCACCUAUAGGAUGAAUCACCCCACGUCGGAAAAAAAAUAAUAGUGACUCAGAAAAAGGCGCUCUCUCGUGUAAACUUAAAAAAUCAAUAAACUUUUCAAAAUUAAAAACCCCAAAUAAUAUUUGUAAAGGUGCUCACCGGCUAGUGGGGUUCGAAGGCGAAGGAUGUUCGAGGAGAAGCUGAAAGACUAAAAAUUUGGAAUCUACGUUUACACACCGAAUGAAUAAUUUUUGACUAACGAGCCUGUAUAAAUCAAAGAGAAGAAACAUCAAAUUUGGAACAGUCGUUUUUCUGUCAUCUCCAUAGUUCCAAUCGAAAAGGAGACCUGUCAAAACGACAAAGUUUCGCCACUUUGAUAUACUCAACACACUUUAGUCACAGACAAACAGACGUAACACUUGCGAAAUUUCCAUCGACCACGCUUUUAACGAUCAUUUCAAAUUUUUAUAGUUGUUGAUUUCACGACCAGAGGCGCGCGCAUCGUUUUUCUAUGCGUUUGACGUUUCACACUAGCGCCUUCUGUUGACGAUAUGGCACAACACAGUGAUUCGUGCAACUUUUCCACCAGGUGAUGGUAGUGUGACCUGGGCGAUGGAUUUCCAUGAAAAUCGUUCAAGCUGCUACGUCUGUUUGUCUGUGCUUUAGUUUUGACGAAUAGCCUAGUGUUUUUUAUCCAAAACCUUUGCUGAAUAUAUUAAUUAAUUAUUUAUGGCGUCAAUAAUCUACGAAUCAAUUCAUUACAGCUAACGAUUGAUAGAAGGAAACCUUGCUAAUAAAAACCCAGUGUUUUCAAUAAAUAGGCUUCAUCCUAAAUUAACCCUCUAAUACCCAAUCCCGCCUUUAGACGGGGUAUAGUUUGAGCAUCUUUGUAAUUUUUGUUUCGUGGAAAACCAUUUUUUUUUUAUUUUUGGCUGAUAUUUAGGACUGUUCUGUAUAUCUCAUAAUGGUUUUUGGUGUAUUUUAAAGCGUAUUUACAUGGAACCAAAAAUCAACCCAAAUAUAGGUUCUUUUCACUCAUAUCGGCUCUUCCGUGCGAGAACCCAAAUUUGGCAAAUUUACCACGUUAAAGCUCUGAGUGGGUAGUUUCCGUUUGAUGCCGGCAUAAAAUUGCAACCCAUCGCAAAGUUCUUUCUACCUAGCGUUAACUUUCGAAGUACCCUAGUGGGUUGAAAUAAACCCACUUUUGGGUAAACGGCAAAAAACCCAAAUUUGGCUUCUCGCACGGACAUUAUCGGCUAGGUAGCUGCUUCUCGCUCUGUUUUUGACAACAAUGCGAGCGGGAGAGCGAGGAAACAACCCACUGGUGGGUAAAAAGUUCAAGCGGUAUACUUAUUUUUGCGUUCUUUUAACGUAUUUUUUAGGUAAUCUGUUUUUUCCGUGUACAUUUUUUUAAAAUCAUUGAAAAAUUGAUGUUUCAGUCACCUUUUAGAAGUCAUUGUUUAUUUUGUAUUGAAUCGCUACAAUUAACAUAUUUUAAAUUUUUCCCAAAUCAUUCUAUCCUUGUUCAAUAGUUUAAGGGAAUCGAAUAAACUCUAAAAUGAUUUUCCUUAAAAUUACACGGAAAAUAAAAUUUUCUGUGAAAAAAAAAAAAAUAAUAAUUUUUCAACAAUAAUCAUAAAAUCUCAAAAUGUUUUCAUCUAAAAAAAAUCCGUUCCCCAAAUUGGCUUCCAGGAAAAAUAUAAAAGGAUGUUCAAAAAUAAAAAUUAGAAAAAUCAAAAACUGAAAUUCACGAAAUCGAGAAUUGAAAAGAAUCAU